rnacentral:lncRNA from 1 species
GCACCAAAAUUCUUCAGAGUUUAUUAGUUUAAGGACAAAUGUCACUGACUCAUGCCAAGGAACCACUUUAGCGUCAACAACAACUUUUAGAGGGAAUAGCUCCAUCAUUAAUGGAGCCAGAAUAAACCCUCAGUUACUGCAUUCCUAAGUUCCCAUGCAUACACACAUAGACGUGGGAAGAUGCAUUUGGGGGGAACUAACAUUGUAGUGGUGAUUUAGUCACUUGUGUCCCGUGGAAGCAGUACAACUUUCUUCCACAAAAGGCUGGUACCACCAUUCAGUCAAAAAACUAUAAAAUCAUAUGUAAUUGAAGAAAAAUAAAUAAAUUACAAAAAAAAAAUGAGUGGUAAUUUUCAUAGGUCUCAUCUUGGAUUUUAUAAUAGUUCGAGAGACCAGAAGUUUUGUUCUGGAUCCAUGUUAGAAAAAUUAAUCAACAGAAAGGAGACCCCACAGCCUCAAGGCAAUCUCUGCCAGAGCUCUGUCACUUGCACAGCACAAAAGUGCUCCUGGUGUUCUGGGGUAAUCUUCUGCUUUCCAGUUUGCACCCACUGCCUCUUGUCCUGGAGCUGGGCACCACUAAAAAGAGCUGUUCACUUUGUACCUUCCUUUCAGGUGUUUAUAGACAUUGAUGGGAUCUCCCUGAGGAUUCUCCUCUCCAGGCUGGACAGUCCCACGUCCCUCAAUCUGUCUUCAUGCAUUUGCAGUCUCUCCCAAAGACUGUUUUGCUUUUAUGGAAGUAGCUUUGAAAGUCUUUUGCACCAAGAACACUAUUGUCUUCUCAGAAAACUAUGGACAGGAACUACAAUUUGCUUUGUAUGCCUGACUGAUACAUAUGACUUCUUCACUUCCUCACUUGGAAGGAAUGGAGCUACAGCUAUUGCACUCUCCAUCAGGAGGCUGAUCUGCUAUAAAUGACCAAACGCACUCCAAUACGUGAAGUAGAAACUCUUUCAAGUUAAGAAAACUCUUCCUUGGCAGGGGAAGUGGUGUAAGCAGACCCAUGGAGCAAUGUAAAGCCCUGCCAGCAUUGGUCUUUGAUCCAGACUUUGGAGGAGGCACAGCACUGCUUACCUUACUCUGGAAGCUUGCUGGGACUAUGCAGAGUUUGCCCAUGUGAGUAGCAGUCCCUCAGCAGCAUCCAGCCAGAGUGAAACCUUCCAAUGCCCAUCACAGGCAGUCCACAAAGUUCGGGAAGUCUACACGACAGUCAGACCCACAGCAAUGGAACUCUCUCAUCUUCCACUGGAAAAAAAAAUCUCACCUCAUUGUGUGUACACACUCAUGUGUAAUCAGUCACACCACAGCUGUGGUGAUAACAUUAUUGUUGACUGACCACAGGAACUGUAAUCGCUGUGUCAAUCUAACACUUUUUUUGAUGAGAUCAAGGCAACCUGGAGACAAAACCAUCUGAAGUUGUGGAAGCCUUAUUUCAUGUUUUCACUGAUGACGGAGCUGAAGCUUGUAGCAGUGACUUGUUUUUCUUGGUAUACAGAAGUGUGUGUGUGUGUAUUGAUUUCAAAGCCCACCAAAGUCAACAGGGAGUUUCCUAUUUAUCACUAUUGGUUUUAGCUUAAACCCUCUGGGACUGACAUUUACGGGAGCUAGCAACUGGGCAGGGACUCCAGAGAUCAGGUUUAUGCAACUGCUUUUUCCAUUUGUGUCUUGAUGACCUAAGUCACCUCUCCCCAUGACUCAAUUUUGCCAUCUGCAAGGAGGUAGAAAGCUUGACCUUCCUUCAAGAAGGAUUUCUUUCUCGGGAUGAAAAUCUAAAGGCAAGAAGGAUGAGAUGAGCUGGGUAUUUUUAUUCUGCACAUGGAAAUCAGACAAGAAGGUGAAAUACAUAUGGUAAUAGAAGUUGACAAACAAAAUCCAUUUGUAUGAAGUGUUUUUGCUUGUAGAGGGGAAGCUCAGUUCUCAGAAGAAUUUGUUUUCUGUUAGCAAACCAAUUUCUCAUCCGCAGCUGCAGAGAUUAGUAAUCUGUGGCUACCGCACUGCCUGUUCUCCGAGUGUGUCAUUAUCAAACCCUUCUUAAUCACUGAGUUAAUAAACAAAUGAUAGCUAAAGCUGAUUCCUAGCCU